AUUGAACGCUUGCGGCAUGCCUAACACAUGCCAGUCGACCGAGUGGCGGACGGGUGAGUAAUGUCUGGGCAACUGCCCGAUGGCGGGGGAUAACUCCUGGAACCGGUAGCUAAUACCGCAUCCCAUCGGAUGUGCCCAGAGGGGAGUAGCUCGUAGGUGGGGUAAAGGCUCACCUAGGCGACGAUCCCUAGCUGGUCUGAGAGGAUGACCAGCCACACUGGAACUGAGACACGGUCCAGACUCCUACGGGAGGCAGCAGUGGGGAAUAUUGCACAAUGGGAGCAAGCCUGAUGCAGCCAGGCCGCGUGUAUGAAGAAGGCCUUCGGGUUGUAAAGUACUUGCAGCGGGGAGGCGGUACCCGCAGAAGAAGCACCGGCUAACUACGUGCCAGCAGCCGCGGUAAUAC
rnacentral:rRNA from 1 species